rnacentral:rRNA from 1 species
AAUUGCUAGUAAUCGUGGAUCAGCAUGCCACGGUGAAUACGUUCCCGGGUCUUGUACACACCGCCCGUCACACCAUGGGAGCUGGUAACACCCGAAGUCAGUAGUCUAACCGCAAGGAGGACGCUGCCGAAGGUGGGAUUAGCGACUGGGGUGAAGUCGUAACAAGGUAAC